UUUUUUUUCACUUCUCUCUCCUAAACAACAAACCAAGGUGUUUGAUAACUAUGGUCUAACUCUUUUGUCACUUUCUCAUUGCUUCACCCUUUCUCACUUUCUUCACCUUCUUCCUUUCGUUCUUUUUCUUACACUUGAUGUUGCCACAGGCCCACAGUGCCACACCUUCUUUCUCUUAGAUUUUCCAUCUUCUCUUCUUUCUUUGCUUACUUUUGCCGAUAAAAAGUUCCUCUCUUAAUUUUCUAUCUGCGAUCUGCCUCUUCUCUUAACCGACCUCCAUUUUUAUCUCCCUUCCCUUCAGCUCAUAACAAUGGCGUUCCUUUUCGUUUGGCUUGCUCUUGCAAUGAAGACGAGUGGAUAAAUAAUAUUACCGUGGAGCUAAAAUCAUUCUGCUCAGGUUUGUUGCAUUCAAUUUCUCUCUUCAUUUAGUAUUCCAACUUCUCUGAUUUAUUUGAUUGAAUGAUACUCUUUUAAUUAGUGUUCUAACUUCUUUGAUUUACUUGAUUUCAUGAUACUCUCUUAUAAGUGUUUCAGCUUCGCUGAUUUCUUUGAUUUCAUUAUACUGUUUAAUUUGUGGACCAGAGAUUGGUUAUACAUCCGCCCUAAAAGAAGUUUCAGAAAAUUCACAAACAUUUUCAUUUCUUGGUGAUUGACAUGUAUUUUCGGUGCAUGAACAUAUCUUAUAACAUUAAAGUUACUAUUACCAACUUUUUAGGAAAACUACAGUUACAAACUUACAAUCACUAACAGACUAAGAGAGUUACACCACUGAUGCCGAUAAUAGCUGGUAAACAAUAUGUAGUCUAUAACAAGAAUUCUGGCACUCAUUUACGUAAUCGUAAUACUCAUGGAUGUAUGUAAUAAUUAGGCAUAUCAAGCUUCAAAAUCUCCAAAUAUGCAGAUCUAA